GGAUGCGAGGCUGGUCUGGCCACAGCAUCUGUUAGCCCACUGAUCGCCAAGGCUGAGUCAGCCGACCUAGCUGGCUGGGCAGCUGUCAUCGCUCCUUCCUGACUACUUCAUGUGUGUUCUCCCUGAGCUACGUGCUCAGACACAGAUGGAGGAGGGCUGUCCUUCCAUCAGUGGUACAGAGGAGAGGCCCUGCUAGAACUGUCUGAGCUAAAUUAUUCUUUUUUUUGGCGGAACUGGGGAUUGAACUCAGGCCCU
rnacentral:snRNA from 1 species